rnacentral:rRNA from 1 species
GCACGUAGUUAGCCGUGGCUUUCUGGUCAGAUACCGUCAAGGCUGGAGCAGUUACUCUCCAACUUGUUCUUCUCUGACAACAGAGUUUUACGAUCCGAAAACCUUCUUCACUCACGCGGCGUUGCUCCGUCAGACUUUCGUCCAUUGCGGAAGAUUCCCUA